CUUUUAAAGGAUCCAAGU
rnacentral:tRNA from 2 species